rnacentral:rRNA from 1 species
UACAGAGGUCUCAAGCGUUGUUCGGAUUCAUUGGGCGUAAAGGGUGCGUAGGCGGCGUGGUAAGUCGGGUGUGAAAUCUCGGAGCUUAACUCCGAAACUGCAUUCGAUACUGCCGUGCUUGAGGACUGGAGAGGAGACUGGAAUUUACGGUGUAGCGGUGAAAUGCGUAGAUAUCGUAAAGAAGACCAGUGGCGAAGGCGGGUCUCUGGACAGUUCCUGACGCUGAGGCACGAAGGCCAGGGGGAGCAAACGGG